GACGAACGCUGGCGGCGUGCUUAACACAUGCAAGUCGAACGGAGUGGCGAACGGGUGAGUAACACGUGGGUGAUCUGCCCUGCACUUCGGGAUAAGCCUGGGAAACUGGGUCUAAUACCGGAUAGUGUAGGAUGAGCUCGCGGCCUAUCAGCUUGUUGGUGGGGUAAUGGCCUACCAAGGCGGCGACGGGUAGCCGGCCUGAGAGGGUGGACGGCCACAUUGGGACUGAGAUACGGCCCAGACUCCUACGGGAGGCAGCAGUGGGGAAUAUUGCACAAUGGGCGCAAGCCUGAUGCAGCGACGCCGCGUGGGGGAUGACGGCCUUCGGGUUGUAAACUCCUUUCGCUAGGGACGCGGUACCUAGAUAAGAAGCACCGGCUAACUACGUGCCAGCAGCCGCGGUAAUUC
rnacentral:rRNA from 1 species